GACCUAGAAAACAGGACCCAUGCCAACAGCACGUCCUUACUCCAUAGGCUGAUCUAAACUAAAGCCUUACAAACCAAAAUUAAACCCGAAGAUAUACGGGCU
rnacentral:rRNA from 1 species